CGUAUACCUGCAUAAAUAGGUACAGCCUGUCGGCGAAGGCAGAAACAGGAGCAUACCGUUUUAUCUUGCCAAAAUUAAAAGAAUUCUGUUAUAAAUAAUUGAAGUUUUCAGUUUUUUAGGAGUUAACGAUGGUUCUUUGUUCAGUUGUCUUUUAAUUUUACUAAUUUACUCAGUUUUUAAGCUUAUGUUGUGUCUUUUGUUUGAUUGUACUUUAAGGGCGAGGGAAAUUCUGUCUAAGCAAACUUAAACCAUUUUUUUUAUUUUCACUUGAAAUAACCUACUUUGGAGUAUUUCAAGAACGAGGCUCUACUAGAACGUAAAGUCACUAGAUAUAUAUUUUUAGUGACUUUAUUGAAACGGUACUUAGUACUCCAUCUGUUGGGUGGUACAAAAUCGUACCAAGGGCUUGAGGUGUGUUUGCGAAUUGCGAAGCGGGGGAAGAAAAGAAAAAGUCAGGCCUGUGAGAAACUCGUUGUACGAUUCUUGCUGAUCAAACACCGAACAUCUCUUUGCUGCAAAGUUUUAAAAACAUCUCAAGUGUACUGGAAACUUUGUACGAAUGGCUCAAAUAUGACGCUAGAGACGCUAACACGGGUUAAAUGGAGAACCUUUCCCGAGGACUGUGACUCUCAUAGGGUCUGGUGACAUUGAGACUGAGUUUUUUUUGAGACCAUCGUCCGAAGAGGAGGACGGCGAGGCACAAGGGACGUUUUCUUCAGAAUGAAUUUAGGAGUUGACGCGCAAGGCACAAUGGCGCUGAGCUAGAAUAGCGUCAUCGUGUUUACAUUUCAUAGUUUUAAAUAAAAUGAAUACAGUAGGUA